ACCGUCUCAUAACUUACAACGAUCAUCAUCCUUCAACAUCACUAUCAAUAUGAAUUUCAGUUUUUGGAUCUUAUCUGCCUUAGCAUGCAUCUUCGCACUUCUAAAUAUGGGAAUGGCAGGAGAUGAACAUCACCAUGUAAUUAUCCAUGUGCCAUACCAUGUGAAAACUCACAAGCACACCCACACGAUAUACAAGGUGAUAAAGGACGAACCACAUGAGAAAUACGAAGAACAUGAUUGGGCAGGAUCUAUCUAGGAAAUUCACUCAACUAGUCCACUAACACAUCUGAAAACAUUUCAUAAUUGUUAAUUUUUUUUUAGUUUUAUUAUUUCUGUGAUUAUAAAUAUAUUUUUGUUGUUGAAA